AUGGCGACCGGCGCACGGGUGAGUAACACGUAUCCAACCUGCCGAUGACUCGGGGAUAGCCUUUCGAAAGAAAGAUUAAUACCCGAUGGCAUAGUUCUUCCGCAUGGUAGAACUAUUAAAGAAUUUCGGUCAUCGAUGGAGAUGCGUUCCAUUAGCUUGCCGGCGGGGUAACGGCCCACCGGGGCGACGAUCAGUAGGGGUUCUGAGAGGAAGGUCCCCCACACUGGAACUGAGACACGGUCCAAACUCCUACGGAAGGCAGCAG
rnacentral:rRNA from 1 species